AGAGUUUGAUCCUGGCUCAGGAUGAACGCUAGCGGCAGGCCUAAUACAUGCAAGUCGGGCGGCAAGUUGAGGAGCAAUCCGAGACCUAGAGCGGCGGACGGGUGCGUAACGCGUAUGCAACCUGCCCCUUACCGGGGGAUAGCCCGGGGAAACCCGGAUUAAUACCCCAUAGUAUUCAGACACCGCAUGGUGAUUGUAUUAAAGAUUCAUCGGUAGGGGAUGGGCAUGCGUAGGAUUAGUUAGUUGGCGGGGUAACGGCCCACCAAGACUUUGAUCCUUAGGGGUUCUGAGAGGAAGGUCCCCCACACUGGCACUGAGAUACGGGCCAGACUCCUACGGGAGGCAGCAGUAGGGAAUAUUGGGCAAUGGGCGGGAGCCUGACCCAGCCAUGCCGCGUGCAGGAAGAAGGCGUUAUGCGUUGUAAACUGCUUUUAUACGGGAAGAAAAGGCCCAUGCGUGGGACAUUGCCGGUACCGUGUGAAUAAGCACCGGCUAACUCCGUGCCAGCAGCCGCGGUAAUAC
rnacentral:rRNA from 1 species